AUUGAACGCUGGCGGCAUGCCUAACACAUGCAAGUCGAACGAAGCCUUCGGGCUUAGUGGCGCACGGGUGCGUAACACGUGGGAAUCUGCCCUUUGGUUCGGAAUAACAGUUAGAAAUGACUGCUAAUACCGGAUAAUGACGUAAGUCCAAAGAUUUAUCGCCGAAGGAUGAGCCCGCGUAGGAUUAGGUAGUUGGUGAGGUAAUGGCCCACCAAGCCGACGAUCCUUAGCUGGUCUGAGAGGAUGAUCAGCCACACUGGGACUGAGACACGGCCCAGACUCCUACGGGAGGCAGCAGUGGGGAAUAUUGGACAAUGGGCGAAAGCCUGAUCCAGCAAUGACCGCGUGAGUGAUGAAGGCC
rnacentral:rRNA from 1 species